UUAAAAAGCUCGUAGUCGAAUUUUUAAGGGAAUCAAUUUCGUGUGGUCUUAAUGAACUACAAAGGAAGAUGAUUUAUCUUAUUUUGCGCUUAUACACCGUUGGAAUUCGUUUUCUGACAGUGAAUUAAGUGUGUAUUUACUUUGAGAAAAUUAGAGUGUUCUAAGCAGUCUUACGGCUUUAUCCUAAAGCAUGGAAUGAUAAGUAAUGACAUCGGUUAAUUUCUGUUGGUUUGAGAGGUUGAUGUAAUGAUUUAUAGAGUUAGUCGGAGGUAUUAGUAUUUUGUCGUUAGAGGUGAAAUUCCGGGAUCGACAAAAGACUAACAACUGCGAAGGCAUUUACCUAGGAUUUGCUCCUUGAUCAAGAACGUAAGUUGGGGGAUCGAAGACGAUCAGAUACCGUCGUAGUCUCAACUUUAAACUAUAUCAGCUAGGGGUUGGCAAAUGUUUAUAUGACUUUGUUAGAACCUUAAGAGAAAU
rnacentral:rRNA from 1 species